rnacentral:lncRNA from 1 species
UGGGAGGCUUCCGUGUUCUGCACUGGAUACUUGAGGGGUAUCGUAUACACACCUGACUUCUCCAAAUCUCGUCGUACAUCCUUCUCGUUGCGAAGGGUAUUAAAAGUACCCAGCGCAGAACAUGGAAGCUUCCUGCAUCGGGGUCGCUGCGGGAGCGCUCUGCCGGCGACUCUCGGAGCACGGGACUGACAUUGGGAGGGGCGGGGCGGCAGCGGCCCUGGCAGGAUGGGCCUGCACUGCUGACUUGGUUGUGGAAUGGGAUAGGGCGAAGGUGCUGAGACCAGUCGUCGGGCCGGGGCGGGCCAUAACGCAGGAGACGGUGGGGAUUUUGGCUGGAAAGGGGAGGCGCGGUCUUGUCGGUGGUG